rnacentral:rRNA from 1 species
ACGAUGGAUGCCCGUUGUCAGGCUGUUUCAGCCUGGUGACCAAGCGAAAGCAUUAAGCAUCCCACCUGGGGAGUACGCCGGCAACGGUGAAACUCAAAGGAAUUGACGGGGGCCCGCACAAGCGGAGGAACAUGUGGUUUAAUUCGAUGAUACGCGAGGAACCUUACCCGGGCUUGAAUUGCAGACGAAGGCUUCAGAGAUGAAGCUGCCUUUCGGGGCGUCUGUGAAGGUGCUGCAUGGCUGUCGUCAG